AACUUUUAGCAACGGAUCACUUGGUUCUGGCAUCGAUGAAGAACGCAGCGAUAUGCGAUAAGUAAUGUGAAUUGCAGAAUUCAGUGAAUCAUCGAAUCUUUGAACGCACAUUGCGCCCGGUGGUAUUCCGCCGGGCAUGCCUGUUCGAGCGUCAUUUAAACCAAUCUAGCCUCGUGCUAGGUCUUGGGCCUCGCCUCCCGGCGGGCCUCAAAAUCAGUGGCGGUGCCCUCUGGCUCUAAGCGUAGUAAUACUCCUCGCUAUAGACGUUAGGUGGUGUCUUGCCAGCAACCCCCAAUUUUAAAGGUUGACCUCGGAUCAGGUAGGGAUACCCGCUGAACUUAAGCAUAUCAAUAAGCGGAGGCU
rnacentral:misc_RNA from 2 species